rfam:Stegodyphus mimosarum contig81048, whole genome shotgun sequence.
GCCUUCGUAGUGUAGUGGUCAGCACGCUCGGCACGCAUUCGAGAGGUCCGUAGUUCGAGUCCCAGCGAGGGCA